rnacentral:tRNA from 1 species
GCAGCUGUGGCCUACUGGUUAGCGCUUCGGACUUGUAACCGGCAGGUUGCCGGUUCGAACUCCGACCAGUAGGCA